CUUGACCUCAUCAGCUGUUGGCUACUGAAGCAGUCACAUCAGGAAACAAAGUUUUCAGCAGCAUGGCCAGUGCAAGGCACCUCCUGGGUGCCUGGGAUACAGCAAUCCUGCCCCUUCCCCGAGCCCACAAACACACAGGGAUCUAGAGCAGU